GACGGAGGGUGCAAGCGUUGUCCGGAAUCACUGGGCGUAAAGCGCGCGUAGGCGGCCGUUUAAGUCAUCUGUGAAAGCCCGGGGCUCAACCCCGGGACUGCAGGCGAAACUGGACGGCUAGAGCUCGGUAGAGGCGAGUGGAAUUCCGGGUGUAGCGGUGGAAUGCGUAGAUAUCCGGAAGAACACCAGUGGCGAAGGCGGCUCGCUGGGCCGAUGCUGACGCUGAGGUGCGAAAGCGUGGGGAGCAAACAGGAUUAGAUACCCCCGUA
rnacentral:rRNA from 1 species